rnacentral:lncRNA from 1 species
UCAUGUGAUGGCAACAUAAUUUAUUAAUCAUCCUGGCAUUUUUCUCCUUGACAGCUCCUCAGCUGCUGUUACAUUCUUCUUCGAUGGUUGUUUACAGAAUUUCUUACCUGGUGUGGUCCGACUUGAAAUUAUUGCCAGUGUACCCAC